GAUCCGGCCACCGAUUGGACCGGGUCUUGUGUCUAAAAUCAUCUACUCGGCGAGAGCUUUCCAUAGACACCAAGAACGCCGAAAUCCAUCGAGCGGUUUGUCCGAUUUUUGCUCGGGAAGAUUUUAGCCCAUUUCGACUUUUGGGCUAGAUUUCUCGAAAAUCGUGAAUCCCACGAGAAAACCGAGGCCACCAGCACGCUCCAUUCGUCGAGAGCUUCGCAACGACAUAAAUUUUGAAUUUUUCCGACACCGUUUUUUGGUAUCCUCGAUUCGCGGAAAUUCGACAGUUGACCAGGUCUGCAAAUUUCGGGCCAGACAGACCCGUUACCGGAAAAGUCUCCGAAUUGGGCCGAGGUUUUGGCUAGCCCCCCAUUUUCAGACGUCCUGAGCGCGUUCCCGAAGUCAGAAUCGGCAAAGGUGAGCCGGGACAGCCUUCUUCCUCCGUCCAGCCACCACAGUAAUUUGUCGUCAAGUUUGCCACAGGAGGAUAUUUUGUUCAGGU